UGGGUCGACAAGACGGUCGCGGAAUCCGUAAGGAAACCGAGGAACGUCCGGGCUCCACAGGGCAGGACGGUGGGUAACACCCACCCGGGGCAACCCGCGAGAAAGUGCAACAGAAAGCAAACCGCCUCCGCGUCUCGCACGCGGCGGUAAGGGUGAAACGGUGGUGUAAGAGACCACCAGCGAACGUGGUGACACGAUCGGCUAGGUAAACCUCGUCCGGAGCAAGGUCAGACAGAAAACGUUGAGGCGGCCCGCCGAGUUUUCGGGUAGACCGCUAGAGGCGUGCGGUAACGUACGUCGUAGAUAGAUGGCCGUCCAGCGGGAGCAAUCCCGGGGACAGAACCCGGCGUAAUAGUCGGCCCAUUCA
rnacentral:RNase_P_RNA from 1 species